GGAUCGAAGAUCGCAGCCCCAUGUCUAACAUCUGGCAUCUGGGAGCGGGCUCAACCCAAAAUUUAUACAGUCAAAAGAACCAAAAUAGCAAAAUCAAAGAUUUAGGCCCAUAACCAAAUUCCAAAUUCCACAGUGACCUUCCAAUAAACAAAUAACGAACAUCA